GCCAACACCCAGACCUAGAGGGAUGCAUACCUCAGUGAAGGCCAACCUGGACAUUGGGUGAUACCUGGACCUGCCAGGAUGAUAGGCAUUAUCUAGAACAGGUGACCCUCCCAUAAGGCCAGGAAGGUCAAGAUGGAAGCAGAAGAGUGAUGUGAUGUGAGAAGGACUCAAUCAACUGUUGCUGACUUGAAGAUGGAGGAAAGGGUCUUGGGCCAUGAAAUGCAGGCAUCCCCUAAAAGCUGGAACAGGCAAGGAAGUAGAUUCACUUCUAGAGUGUCCAGAAAGAAACAUAGCCAUGCAACACCUU